rnacentral:misc_RNA from 1 species
GAUGAAGAACGCAGCGAAAUGCGAUAAGUAAUGUGAAUUGCAGAAUUCAGUGAACCAUCGAAUCUUUGAACGCACCUUGCGCUCUUUGGCCAUUCCAAGGAGCAUGCCUGUUUGAGUGUCAUUGAAAUCCUCAAGGCCCCUCCCCGCUUUCGCGCCGCGGGGGGGGCUUUGGACUUGGGAGCGCUGCGGCGCCGGGCUUCCUUCCGGCUCCGCUCUCCUCAAACGCAUCAGUAAGGGCCCCUCUCAUCCCUUCGGGUCUUUGCGGCGUUGAUAGUCGUCCACGCCUCUGCCCGUCGGGGGUUCCCCCCGCCUUGCUCCUCAACCCACAUUCGUCUUCUUGAACGCUUUGACCUCAAAUCAGGUAGGACUACCCGCUGAACUUAAGCAUAUCAAUAAGCGGAGGA